GGGUUGUGAGGUUAAGCGACUAAGCGUACACGGUGGAUGCCCUGGCAGUCAGAGGCGAUGAAGGACGUGCUAAUCUGCGAUAAGCGUCGGUAAGGUGAUAUGAACCGUUAUAACCGGCGAUUUCCGAAUGGGGAAACCCAGUGUGAUUCGUCACACUAUCAUUAACUGAAUCCAUAGGUUAAUGAGGCGAACCGGGGGAACUGAAACAUCUAAGUACCCCGAGGAAAAGAAAUCAACCGAGAUUCCCCCAGUAGCGGCGAGCGAACGGGGAGCAGCCCAGAGCCUGAAUCAGUGUGUGUGUUAGUGGAAGCGUCUGGAAAGGCGUGCGAUACAGGGUGACAGCCCCGUACACAAAAAUGCACAUACUGUGAGCUCGAUGAGUAGGGCGGGACACGUGGUAUCCUGUCUGAAUAUGGGGGGACCAUCCUCCAAGGCUAAAUACUCCUGACUGACCGAUAGUGAACCAGUACCGUGAGGGAAAGGCGAAAAGAACCCCGGCGAGGGGAGUGAAAAAGAACCUGAAACCGUGUACGUACAAGCAGUGGGAGCACGCUUAGGCGUGUGACUGCGUACCUUUUGUAUAAUGGGUCAGCGACUUAUAUUCUGUAGCAAGGUUAACCGAAUAGGGGAGCCGAAGGGAAACCGAGUCUUAACUGGGCGUUAAGUUGCAGGGUAUAGACCCGAAACCCGGUGAUCUAGCCAUGGGCAGGUUGAAGGUUGGGUAACACUAACUGGAGGACCGAACCGACUAAUGUUGAAAAAUUAGCGGAUGACUUGUGGCUGGGGGUGAAAGGCCAAUCAAACCGGGAGAUAGCUGGUUCUCCCCGAAAGCUAUUUAGGUAGCGCCUCGUGAAUUCAUCUCCGGGGGUAGAGCACUGUUUCGGCAAGGGGGUCAUCCCGACUUACCAACCCGAUGCAAACUGCGAAUAC
rnacentral:rRNA from 1 species